rnacentral:rRNA from 1 species
UACGGGGGGGACGAGUGUUAUUCAUCAUUACUGGGCGUAAAGGGUGCGUAGGUUGUUUUCUAAGUUUAGAUCUUGUAUACUAAUUAGAAAUAGAUCUUUAUACUGGUAAGCUAGGGGUUAGGAGAGGAAAGUUAUAGUUUUAGUGUAAAGGUGAAAUUUUUAAAUACUGGGGGGAUAACUUAUGGCAAAGGCAACUUUCUAGAAUAAUACCGACGCUGAGGCACAAAAGCAUGGGGAGCAAACGGG